rnacentral:rRNA from 1 species
GAGAGAAGAUGGAAAGACGGCCUCUAGCUGUCACUUAUAGAUGGGCCCGCGGCGCAUUAGCUAGUUGGUGAGGUAAUGGCUCACCAAGGCGACGAUGCGUAGCCGACCUGAGAGGGUGAUCGGCCACACUGGGACUGAGACACGGCCCAGACUCCUACGGGAGGCAGCAGUAGGGAAUCUUCCGCAAUGGACGAAAGUCUGACGGAGCAACGCCGCGUGAACGAAGAAGGCCUUCGGGUCGUAAAGUUCUGUUGUUAGGGAAGAACAAGUACCAGAGUAACUGCUGGUACCUUGACGGUACCUAACCAGAAAGCCACGGCUAACUA